rnacentral:rRNA from 1 species
CCUGUACCAGUUAGUUAGUGAUGGAGUGACGAAGAAGGAUAGUGUAUCCCGAGGAUUGGUUGUCUCGGGCUAAGCACAAAGACGGUAACAUUGGCAAAUCCGUGUUAUUUAACGUUGAAGUGUGAUGGGGAGUGAACGGUUCGCCUAGUAACGAAGUAUAUGACUCCACGCUUCCAAGAAAAGCUUCUAACUUAAUAACUAAUUGCCUGUACCUAGAACGAACACACGUGGUCAAGGAGAAAAUCCUAAGGCAAGCGAGAUAACUGUAGCUAAGGAACUCUGCAAAAUAACUCCGUAACUUCGGAAGAAGGAGUGCUCAUCUUUGAUGAGCCGCAGUGAAGAGGGAGGGGCAACUGUUUAACAAAAACACAGCUCUCUGCUAAGUCGCAAGACGAUGUAUAGGGGGUGACACCUGCCCAGUGCCGGAAGGUUAAAAGGAGAAGUCAG